CAGAUUUUGUGUCUGGUGAAUCCCAAGAGGAAAAGGAUUUAAGUGCAGAUGUGGUAGCCAUCAGAGGAAAGCAGUUAUUUGAAGAUAUGAGUGUGGAUAUCGUUUUAUAAAGAAGGGUGAAGAAUGACAAGAGAAAAGGGCUACAUACAGACGAUCUGUGGAGCAGCUGACUAAGUGAUGUGCAAAUUAGACUGGCAAGGAAAGACAAGAGUUAGAAAGAAAACCAGAGGAAAGAGAUGCCCCAGAAACAAGAGAGAAGCAGGAAAAGAUUAGAUUAUCACUAAAUCUAAGGUUUUAGGGCUCCUCAAGAGUAUCCUUUGGAAUUGAUCAUAAUGAUGCCCCCAGUGAUCUUAAGGAAUGCCCUGAAAUGCAGUAGCUGGAGCUAGUCCCAG
rnacentral:lncRNA from 1 species